CCUUCGUUCUUUUUUUUUUUUUUACGCUGCAUUCCCCUUUCUUUCUUCUUCCUUAGUUCAUGACCUUCAAUGGAGAAAGAGCAAGAGAGAACUUGAUGAUUUAGUCACCAUUUCAUCUAGACUCCAACAUAGAAAAGGUAGCUUAGCACCCUAUCAUCCUAACCCACCAUUUUUCUAACUUUGGGAAGCUUUAAAUCUCUUCUUUUCUCCUCUGGACAGCAGCGCCUGCACAUGGAAAGGAAGGAGAAAAUGGAUUGAUUCCAUAGUUCUAAGCUUAGGGAAGUCAUCAAUAGUUAUUGGUUAGGCUAUCUAAGAGUGUAAUCAGACGAAGUAAGUGGACGAACAACUUAUAGACAACCAAGUGUGCGGUGUAUUAAAUAGCAAAUUAGCAGCAAGAAAGAGGUGACAGGUAUCGCAGCAGUUGACGAUCGUUCUCGGGGCAAGAGGCCCAUGGUUGAUGAGUAGAUCUGAGCAUAGAUGUUGCCUGCUUAUUUUGGGAGUCUGUUGUAUAUAUUUGUGACACUGUGAUGUAUUAUGUUUAUGUAGGUUGAUGUAGGAUGUUGUAGUUAUGGCACAGAGCCACCUUUUUUAUAUGAUAUAUAUAGAGUUAUGGAUCAUGUAUGUAUACUACUGUAUAUGAUAUGGAAUUGUUGUAUAUUGUGGGUUGUAAGAGCCCCAAGGCAUUGCUGGUCCUUGUGUGUGCCACCCACUGAUUAUUAGGUACCAUUUGAGGUCAUAGACCACUUGUACAAAUUUGUGAA